rnacentral:rRNA from 1 species
AUGAUCUUGAUUGGUGUGCAGGGCUUCCCAGUAAAUAUUCCAAGUGAUCCCAAAGGAUUGCAACUUCAACUGGAGUACCUGAAAGAAACCUACGGGAACCUUCCAGUCUAUGUCCAAGAGAAUGGUAUGGGGUCUGCCGAUGAUAGCCUAGAUGACACGGACAGGGUCGGUUUCCUGAGCAGCUACAUGGAAAGCACACUAAACGCGAUGAGGAACGGGGCCGACGUGAGAGGCUAUUUCGCCUGGGCAUUCAUGGAUUUGUUUGAGCUCCUGUCCGGGUACCAGUUGAGGUACGGGUUGUACCGGGUCGACUUUGCUGACCAGAGGUUGCCGCGGCAAGCUAGGCUCUCCGCUCGCUAG